rnacentral:misc_RNA from 1 species
GCAAACUUGGUCAUUUAGAGGAAGUAAAAGUCGUAACAAGGUUUCCGUAGGUGAACCUGCGGAAGGAUCAUUAUAGAAUUGUUCGAAUCCAUACGGGCAUUUUCUAAAAAUCCGUAUCCACACCGGUAGGGUUUUUUUUUUCUUUUGGGGGAAAAAACCCUUACCGUAGGGUUCCUCAUUCGCUUUUCGGAGCGGGUGUGGUUCCUGUCUGACCCAUGCCUAUAAUUUUAUUUUGUCUGAACUUGUUUAUAAAAAAAUAAUAAACAAAAACAACUUUCAACAACGGAUCUCUUGGCUCUCGCAUCAAUGAAGAACGCAGC